rnacentral:rRNA from 1 species
GAUAAACGCUGGCGGCGUGCCUAAUACAUGCAAGUCGAGCGAACAGACGAGGAGCUUGCUCCUCUGACGUUAGCGGCGGACGGGUGAGUAACACGUGGAUAACCUACCUAUAAGACUGGGAUAACUUCGGGAAACCGGAGCUAAUACCGGAUAAUAUAUUGCACCGCAUGGUUCAAUAGUGAAAGACGGUUUUGCUGUCACUUAUAGAUGGAUCCGCGCCGCAUUAGCUAGUUGGUAAGGUAACGGCUUACCAAGGCAACGAUGCGUAGCCGACCUGAGAGGGUGAUCGGCCACACUGGAACUGAGACACGGUCCAGACUCCUACGGGAGGCAGCAGUAGGGAAUCUUCCGCAAUGGGCGAAAGCCUGACGGAGCAACGCCGCGUGAGUGAUGAAGGUCUUCGGAUCGUAAAACUCUGUUAUUAGGGAAGAACAAAUGUGUAAGUAACUAUGCACGUCUUGACGGUACCUAAUCAGAAAGCCACGGCUAACUACGUG